rnacentral:rRNA from 1 species
CACGUAGUUAGCCGUGGCUUCCUCCUCAGGUACCGUCAUUAUCGUCCCUGAAGACAGAGCUUUACAACCCGAGGGCCGUCAUCACUCACGCGGCGUUGCUGCAUCAGGGUUUCCCCCAUUGUGCAAUAUUCCCCACUGCUGCCUCCCGUAGGAGUCUGGGCCGUGUCUCAGUCCCAAUGUGGCCGAUCACCCUCUCAGGUCGGCUACGCAUCGUCGCCUUGGUGAGCCGUUACCUCACCAACUAGCUAAUGCGCCGCGGGCCCAUCUCAUAGCGGAUUGCUCCUUUAAUUGCUACUUCAUGCGAAACUGCAAUCUUAUGCGGUAUUAAUCUCCCUUUCGGAAGGCUAUUCCCCUCUAUGAGGCAGGUUGCCCACGUGUUACUCACCCGUCCGCCGCUAGCUUUGUUCCGAAGAACUCCACUCGCUCGACUUGCAUGUGUUAGGCACGCCGCCAGCGUUCGUCCUGAGCCAGGAUACAAACUCU